rnacentral:rRNA from 1 species
CAGACAUAGUGAGGAUUGACAGAUUGAGAGCUCUUUCUUGAUUCUAUGGGUGGUGGUGCAUGGCCGUUCUUAGUUGGUGGAGCGAUUUGUCUGGUUAAUUCCGAUAACGAACGAGACCCCUGCCUGCUAAAUAGUCCAGUGAUUGACUCUUCACUGCACUGCUGUCUUUCUUAGAGUGACGUGCGUUCUAUCAGAUGAGGAAGGCUUCUGGAUAUAACAGGUCAGUCCAAGCCCA